rnacentral:rRNA from 1 species
UGAUGACGAGACGCUAAGGCGUUGAAGCAGUGUAUGUCAGACUUCCAAGAAAAGCUCGCAAUGUCACAAAUAAAAAGUGCCUGUACCAUAACCGACACAGGUGGGUAGGUAGAGUAUACUAAGGGGCGCGAGAUAACUCUCUCUAAGGAACUCGGCAAAAUGACUCCGUAACUUCGGGAGAAGGAGUGCCUUAUUUAUAAGGUUGCAAUAACAAGAUCCAAGCAACUGUUUAUCAAAAACACAGGUCUCCGCUAAGUCGUAAGACGAUGUAUGGGGGCUGACGCCUGCCCAGUGCCAGAAGGUUAAAGAAGUUGGUUAGUGUAUGCGAAGCUGAUGACUGAAGCCCUGGUGAACGGCGGCCGUAACUAUAACGGUCCUAAGGUAGCGAAGUUCCUUGUCGGGUAAGUUCCGACCCGCACGAAAGGCGUAAUGAUUUGGAUACUGUCUCGGAGAGAGGCUCGGUGAAAUAGACUUGUCUGUGAAGAUGCGGACUACCUGCACCAGGACAGAAAGACCCUAUGAAGCUUUACUGUAACUUGAAAUUGGAAUUGGACUUUGCUUGCGCAGUAUAGGUGGGAAGCGUUGAAAAUAUUCUUGCGGGAGUAUUGGAGCUAUCAGUGAGAUACCACUCUUGUAAUGUUAGAUUUCUAACUUUGAACCAUAAUCUGGUCAAAGAACAGUUUCAGGUGGGCAGUUUGACUGGGGCGGUCGCCUCCCAAAUGGUAACGGAGGCGUACAAAGGUUUCCUCUGAACGGAUAGAAAUCGUAUCUAGAGUGUAAAGGCAUAAGGAAGCUUGACUGUGAGACCUACAAGUCGAGCAGGGACGAAAGUCGGUCUUAGUGAUCUGACGGUACUGAGUGGAAAGGCCGUCACUCAACGGAUAAAAGUUACUCUAAGGAUAACAGGCUGAUCUCCCCCAAGAGUUCACAUCGACGGGGAGGUUUGGCACCUCGAUGUCGGCUCAUCGCAUCCUGGGGCGGUAGUACGUCCCAAGGGUUGGGCUGUUCGCCCAUGAAAGCGGUACGCGAGCUGGGUUCAGGACGUCGUGAGACAGUUCGGUCCAUAUCCGGUGUAGGCGCUAGAAUAUUGAGAGGAGCCUUCUUUAGUACGAGAGGACCGAGAAGGACACACCGCUGGUGUACCAGUUAUCGUGCCAACGGUAAACGCUGGGUAGCUAUGUGUGGAGUGGAUAACCGCUGAAAGCAUCUAAGUGGGAAGCCCACCUCGAGAUGAGUAUUCUC